rnacentral:rRNA from 1 species
UACGGAGGGGGCGAGCGUUAUUCGGAAUUACUGGGCGUAAAGGGCGCGUAGGCGGCCUGUUAAGUCGAACGUGAAAUCCCCGGGCUCAACCCGGGAACUGCGUCCGAUACUGGCAGGCUUGAAUCCGGGAGAGGGAUGUGGAAUUCCAGGUGUAGCGGUGAAAUGCGUAGAUAUCUGGAGGAACACCGGUGGCGAAGGCGGCAUCCUGGACCGGUAUUGACGCUGAGGCGCGAAAGCUAGGGGAGCGAACGGG